rnacentral:rRNA from 1 species
UACGUAGGGUGCGAGCGUUGUCCGGAAUUAUUGGGCGUAAAGAGCUCGUAGGCGGUGUGUCACGUCGAUCGUGAAAACUUGGGGCUUAACUCUGAGCUUGCGGUCGAUACGGGCAUCACUGGAGUUCGGCAGGGGAGACUGGAAUUCCUGGUGUAGCGGUGAAAUGCGCAGAUAUCAGGAGGAACACCAGUGGCGAAGGCGACUCGCUGGACCGGUCCUGACGCUCAGGCGCGAAAGCGUGGGGAGCGAUCCGG